rnacentral:lncRNA from 1 species
AAAGCAUUUUUUUGAUACCUCCUUAGAAAUAUGGACAUACAGGACCACUAAUCAAAAAGACAUAAUCUGCAAAGUCGACGUAAUGAGUUCUAUAAGCCAAGACUACAUUAGGUUUACGAGAUCAUGGAGCUUCCACAAGCAAAGACAAAAGGUCAAGCUGCAGGGAGAGUUUUUUAAGCUCCUGCGAGAUCGGAUGACCAUCUAUCCUGGAGAAUGGGAUUGGUGCCGGCAGGCACUCCUGGCACGUCCCAGCUCACCCUGGCCCGGGCACCGUUGGCGUGGCUGACGGGUGGCCGCAAGCCCGGGCUCGUUCAAGGUCGGCGGCGUAAGCGCUGACCUGUCCCACCAGCUCACUGCACAGCCGGCCAGCUGGACG